rnacentral:rRNA from 1 species
GGAUUUGAUCAGGUGGUCUUUCCUAAUUGGAUUGCACUACUUUGGUCGAAUCUUUCCUUUUGGCUAACCAUUGUGCUAUUAAUUUAGUGCGAUGGGGAACCAAGACUUUUACUUUGAAAAAAUUAGAGUGUUUAUAGCGGGCUUACGCUUGCAUACAUUAGCAUGGAAUAAUAAAAUAGGACUUUGGUUUUAUUUUGUUGGUUUCUAAGACCGAAGUAAUGAAUAAUAGGGACAGUUGGGGGCAUUUGUAUUGUAGCGUCAGAGGUGAAAUUCUUGGAUUGCUAUAAGACAAACUUCUGCGAAAGCAUUUGCCAAAGAUGUUUUCAUUAAUCAAGAACGAAAGUUAGGGGAUCGAAGACGAUCAGAUACCGUCGUAGUCUUAACCAUAAACUAUGCCGACUAGGGAUCGGUGGGUGUUCAAUCAUGACCCCAUCGGCACCUUAUGAGAAAUCAAAGUUUUUAGGUUCAGGGGGAAGUAUGGUCGCAAGGCCGAAACUUAAAGGAAUUGACGGAAGGGCAUCACCGGAUGUGGAGCCUGCGGCUUAAUUCGACUCAAC